CCUACGGGGGGCUGCAGUGGGGAAUAUUGGGCAAUGGGCGAAAGCCUGACCCAGCAACGCCGCGUGAGGGAAGAAGGUUUUCGGAUUGUAAACCUCUGUCGCAGAUGACGAAGGAAGUGACGGUAAUCUGUGAGGAAGCCCCGGCUAACUACGUGCCAGCAGCCGCGGUAAUACGUAGGGGGCGAGCGUUGUCCGGAAUUACUGGGCGUAAAGGGUGCGUAGGCGGUUAAUUAAGUUGGAUGUGAAAUACCCGGGCUUAACCUGGGGGGUGCAUUCAAAACUGGUUAACUAGAGUUCAGGAGAGGGAAGCGGAAUUCCUAGUGUAGCGGUGAAAUGCGUAGAUAUUAGGAGGAACACCAGUGGCGAAGGCGGCUUUCUGGACUGACACUGACGCUGAGGCACGAAAGCGUGGGGAGCAAACAGGCUUAGAUACCCCUGUAGUC
rnacentral:rRNA from 2 species